rnacentral:tRNA from 1 species
AGCGGGGUAGGGCUUUUGCAGUCUAAACUGGCUGUGAACCCAUAGGUCGUAGGUUCAAAUCCUGCCCCCGCUA